GACGAACGCUGGCGGCGUGCCUAAUACAUGCAAGUUGAGCGCUGAAGGUUGGUACUUGUACCAACUGGAUGAGCAGCGAACGGGUGAGUAACGCGUGGGGAAUCUGCCUUUGAGCGGGGGACAACAUUUGGAAACGAAUGCUAAUACCGCAUAAAAACUUUAAACACAAGUUUUAAGUUUGAAAGAUGCAAUUGCAUCACUCAAAGAUGAUCCCGCGUUGUAUUAGCUAGUUGGUGAGGUAAAGGCUCACCAAGGCGAUGAUACAUAGCCGACCUGAGAGGGCUAGCGGCUACACUGGGACUGAGACACGGCCGCAACGCCUAUGAGAGGCCGCAGUAGGGAAUCAUUGGCAAUGGAUGAAAGUCUGACCGAGAAACGCCGCGUGAGUGAAGACGGAUUUCGGAUCCUAAAAAGCGGUUGGUAGAGGAGAACGUUGGGGAUCGUGGAAAGCGCAGCAAGUGACUGUAACUACCCAGAAAGGGACGGCUAACUACGUG
rnacentral:rRNA from 1 species